GGACGAACGCUGGCGGCGUGCUUAACACAUGCAAGUCGAACGGAAAGGCCUCAGCUUGCUGGGGUACUCGAGUGGCGAACGGGUGAGUAACACGUGGGUGAUCUGCCCUGCACUUCGGGAUAAGCCUGGGAAACUGGGUCUAAUACCGGAUAGGACCAUCGUUUAGUGUCGGUGGUGGAAAGUUUUUCGGUGCAGGAUGAGCUCGCGGCCUAUCAGCUUGUUGGUGGGGUAAUGGCCUACCAAGGCGUCGACGGGUAGCCGGCCUGAGAGGGUGGACGGCCACAUUGGGACUGAGACACGGCCCAGACUCCUACGGGAGGCAGCAGUGGGGAAUAUUGCACAAUGGGCGCAAGCCUGAAUGCAGCGACGCCGCGUGGGGGAUGACGGCCUUCGGGUUGUAAACUCCUUUCAACCAUGACGAAGCUUUUGUGACGGUAGUGGUAGAAGAAGCACCGGCUAACUACGUGCCAGCCGCCGC
rnacentral:rRNA from 1 species